rnacentral:rRNA from 1 species
CGAACGCUGGCGGCGUGCUUACCACAUGCAAGUCGCACGCUGAAGCUCAGCUUUUGUUGGGUGGAUGAGUGGCGAACGGGUGAGUAACACGUGAGUAACCUGCCCCCUUCUUUGGGAUAACGCCCGGAAACGGGUGCUAAUACUGGAUAUUCACUGGUCUUCGCAUGGGGGUUGGUGGAAAGGGUUUUUCUGGUGGGGGAUGGGCUCGCGGCCUAUCAGCUUGUUGGUGGGGUGAUGGCCUACCAAGGCUUUGACGGGUAGCCGGCCUGAGAGGGUGACCGGUCACAUUGGGACUGAGAUACGGCCCAGACUCCUACGGGAGGCAGCAGUGGGGAAUAUUGCACAAUGGGCGCAAGCCUGAUGCAGCGACGCCGCGUGAGGGAUGGAGGCCUUCGGGUUGUGAACCUCUUUCGCUCAUGGUCAAGCCGCAACAAUGGUUGUGGUGAGGGUAGUGGGUAAAGAAGCGCCGGCUAACUACGUG